AGAGACUUCAACCUUUGAUCUUGCGUUGACUUUGCAUGCUGACCACUAGUUCUUCUUUGAUUGGUUUGUACUGGGAUAGGGGCAGUAAAACACUUGAACUGUCUGACUCGCUAAUACAAAGUGAUCAUACUUUUUAUAUCUCCUUGUGUGGUUCACUGAAACCAACUUGAAGUCUGUGUCAAUAGAAGUUCCAUGUGCAGACAAGUCAAACCAUUCACAUUUGAACAAGACUGUCCUCUUGAUUGGAUAUCCCCGAUAGUCCAUUACGCACACCUCUUGGAGACGCCUAUAAAAGUCUAGCACAUCUGCAUCACUACCAUAGAUCGAGCCUUUAAUGGAAACACCACUGUUCACGGUCGCACUAUCUCUAUCGUGAUCAGUCGUGUGAAAUCGGUAGCCAUUCACAAAAUACUCGGAAUAUGUUUCAAUCUCCUUUAAUGGUCCAGCUGCAAGCGACUUAAUAUAGGGGUUCAAAUCAUCGUUACAAGGACGACACACCUAUUAGCCACGAUAAUUUAAGUAUGCAAGACAAUUUUUGUAACGCCCCGCUAUUCCCUAGCUAAAUUUAGAGUAAAUUUUGAACUUAGAAGUAUGAGACGAUUCACGCUGCAGAAAUGAAACGAUUUAUUUUUAAUUCCAACAAAUGAUUUACAAAAACUUUUGAAAAAUUUCAUUUAUUCAAAUUCUUAUGCAUUGCAUAUUUAUUUAAAUUGAACAAUUGAGCAUUUACACGUGUUAUUUAUUUAGCGAUCCCUGAAGAAUUUUUACAGUUUCAAUAAUUCACCUCUGAAGUUUUUAAUUGUCCAAUCAACACCUUACCUCCACCAUACCCUAUACUCCUACAAGCCACCUUAUGCCUACCCCCAAGUUCAGCUUUUUGCCAUACCUCCUGCACUCCUUGUCAAUUCAAAGGUUACAAUACAACCAAGCUUCCAUCCUUCCAUCUCCACACGAAACAUUCACAAGUCACAAAUUUUAAGUCCAGCCAAGAAUAGCAGAGCAACCAAGCAAUGGCCAUUUCAGAUUUUGAGCAGCUCACUCAAACUCAAGGUUUCAUCUUUAACUCCCCUGCUUACUUCAUUCCAAAUUAUGAUUAAAAAACCCAAGCCAUUUUAUGUAUGAAGCUGUUCAGCUGCCCAACAAGAAACUCACGCAUUCAUACAUUCACAAAUUUUCAUUUGAACAGAUUUUAUAACACAUAUGUAAUAUUUGUAUACAUAUUCUGUACAUACACACAUAUGUGUAUAAGCUAGUAUUGAAUGAUUUUUCAUGUUGAGUAAAUGAAUAAAAAGGGGAGGGGAGGAAACUUGUCUUGAAGCUUCGAUUUUACUCCUUGUUUCUGAGCUCGAAAUUACCUCUGGCUAUGUGUGUGAGUAGAGUCGAAAGGGAGGUGGUGGUGGUGGCUCGCCACUGCCGGAGACGAGGGAGAAGAGAAGGGAAGGUGGGGUGUCAUGUCUGUUCAGUGAGAGAUGAGAGGGAGGGUGGCGGCGGCAGCUCACUGCCCGGCCCCAGAGUGAGGACAGAGGCGAAGUCGGCGGUGGCUUGGACUGCCGCUUGACUGAACGAAGAAAGAGGGAGAUCGGGACCGGUGGUGGGUGGCAGCCUUCACUGCUGCCUGGCUGAGGACGGGGGAAGAGAGGGAGGAGCGGUGGCGGCUGGGGCUGCUAUCGCCGGAGGAUAAGAGAGUUUGUCGAGGGAGAUGGCCGACGGUGGGUUGAGAGGGGACGGGCGGAGAUUUAGAGACGGGAUUUGAGAGAGGGGCGAUGGCGGCGGCCUUAUCGUCAUCGCUCGCCGGAGAUUCAGAGGGAGGCGGCGGCGUUCUCGCCGCAGCCAAGGAAGGAGAUGGCGAUGGGGUGAGGAAGAGACGAGGCUGGAGAGGCGACGACGGUGUCGCCGGCGCCAGCGUGCUGUGUGUGUGUGUGUUUUGUGAGAACAGAGAGAGACGCGAAUGAAUGGGGAGGGGAGCGGCUGUAGGAGAAGAAGAAAAGGGAGAGGAAUUUGGUUUGGGCUCAGGGCUUGCAGUUGGGCUGAUUGGUUUUAAUUAGACUGGGCCGGAAUUUAUUUAAUAGUGUUUGGGCCCGAUUGUAUUAUUAAUUUUAUGUGGGCUGAGUUUAUUUAAUAGUUUGGGCCUUUGUUUUAAUUGCUUGGGCUGCGAAAUUUUAAGAAUUGGCCCUUACAUUAAAUUAUUUUGGGCAGUCCACAUUUUAAUUAAUUUGAUUAUCAGUAGUUGAUUAAUUAUUUUAAAGACAAAUUGCAUAAUAAUAUUUUAUUAUUGUUAUGUGCAUAUUUUAAGUAAUUACUUAUCAUAUAUAUGCUAAGCAUGACAUGACAUUGCAUUUGCAUCAUGCAAUAAAAGUAUUCAUGAUUUAAUUGGUUUAUUUAUAAAUCCAAUUAUUUAAGAAAAUCGAGUAAGGAUAUUGUUGGUGUCCUUAACUCAAGAAUUUAGUUUUCAAUUAUUUAUUUACUAAAUUUUGGAAACCCGGCGUGAUGAAUCAAGUAUGUUUAGUACAUCCACUAAGACUUUAAGUUAGCUUCACGAGACCUAUUAAGAAUAGAAUUUCUUGUAGGCUUUGUGACCAGGGGGAUUAGCGCUGCUUUCCCAAGACAGGUUUUUAUGUGUAUGAUCUUCAGGCUUUGCCUAUCCAGGUUGGCUGGCCGGUGCUGACGGGACUGAGCUGAGGCUAGGGUUUAAUUUCUAUGUAGACUUCCGCUGUAGUAAUAACUCUUAUACAUCUUUUGUUUUCUCAACUUAAGAUGACUUCAUGUCGAGCUUCAAUUUAAAAUUUCUAGUUUCGAGUUAAUGAACGUCGGUUGUCAGAAACAUGAAACAAAACUUGUGAUCCAAAGGGGCCUAGCCCGACUCGUUAUCUUAUUAUUCGGGUUUUAACAAGGUUGUUCCUUGUUUAUUUCUAUGAAUUAGUUGCACCUCGAUUAUAUUUA